GGCAGCAGCCGCGGGAACACCGGCGGCCCGAGCGGUGAUCGUGAUUAUUGGGUCUAAAGGGUCCGUAGCCGGUUUGGUCAGUCCUCCGGGAAAUCUGAUAGCUCAACUAUUAGGCUUUCGGGGGAUACUGCCAGACUUGGAACCGGGAGAGGUAAGAGGUACUACAGGGGUAGGAGUGAAAUCUUGUAAUCCCUGUGGGACCACCUGUGGCGAAGGCGUCUUACCAGAACGGGUUCGACGGUGAGGGACGAAAGCUGGGGGCACGAACCGGAUUAGAUACCCGGGUAGUCCCAGCCGUAAACGAUGCUCGCUAGGUGUCAGGCAUGGCGCGACCGUGUCUGGUGCCGCAGGGAAGCCGUGAAGCGAGCCACCUGGGAAGUACGGCCGCAAGGCUGAAACUUAAAGGAAUUGGCGGGGGAGCACAACAACGGGUGGAGCCCUGCGGUUUAAUUGGACUCAACGCCGGACAACUCACCGGGGGCGACAGCAAUAUGUAGGCCAAGCUGAAGACUUUGCCUGAAUCGCUGAGAAGAGGUGCAUGG
rnacentral:rRNA from 1 species